GACGAACGCUGGCGGCGUGCUUAACACAUGCAAGUCGAACGGAAAGGCCCUGCUUUUGUGGGGUGCUCGAGUGGCGAACGGGUGAGUAACACGUGAGUAACCUGCCCUUGACUUUGGGAUAACUUCAGGAAACUGGGACUAAUACCGGAUAGGAGCUCCUGCUGCAUGGUGGGGGUUGGAAAGUUUCGGCGGUUGGGGAUGGGCUCGCGGCUUAUCAGCUUGUUGGUGGGGUAGUGGCUUACCAAGGCUUUGACGGGUAGCCGGCCUGAGAGGGUGACCGGCCACAUUGGGACUGAGAUACGGCCCAGACUCCUACGGGAGGCAGCAGUGGGGAAUAUUGCACAAUGGGCGGAAGCCUGAUGCAGCAACGCCGCGUGCGGGAUGACGGCCUUCGGGUUGUAAACCGCUUUCGCCUGUGACGAAGCGUGAGUGACGGUAAUGGGUAAAGAAGCACCGGCUAACUACGUG
rnacentral:rRNA from 1 species